CAGUUUCCUUCUCCUCUUUACUGUGUUUACUAGGCCCAGACCAGUUUCCUUCUCCUCUUUACUGUGUUUACUAGGCCCAGACCAGUUUCCUUCUCCUCUUUACUACGUUUACUAGGUCCAGACCAGUUUCCUUCUCCUCUUUACUACGUUUACUAGGUCCAGACCAGUUUCCUUCUCCUCUUUACUACGUUUACUAGGCCCAGACCAGUUUCCUUCUCCUCUUUACUACGUUUACUAGGCCCAGACCAGUUUCCUUCUCCUCUUUACUACGUUUACUAGGCCCAGACCAGUUUCCUUCUCCUCUUUACUACGUUUACUAGGUCCAGACCAGUUUCCUUCUCCUCUUUACUACGUUUACUAGGUCCAGACCAGUUUCCUUCUCCUCUUUACUACGUUUACUAGGUCCAGACCAGUUUCCUUCUCCUCUUUACUACGUUUACUAGGUCCAGACCAGUUUCCUUCUCCUCUUUACUACGUUUACUAGGUCCAGACCAGUUUCCUUCUCCUCUUUACUAUGUUUACUAGGUCCAGACCAGUUUCCUUCUCCUCUUUACUACGUUUACUAGGCCCAGACCAGUUUCCUUCUCCUCUUUACUACGUUUACUAGGCCCAGACCAGUUUCCUUCUCCUCUUUACUACGUUUACUAGGUCCAGACCAGUUUCCUUCUCCUCUUUACUGUGUUUACUAGGCCCAGACCAGUUUCCUUCUCCUCUUUACUAUGUUUACUAGGUCCAGACCAGUUUCCUUCUCCUCUUUACUGUGUUUACUAGGCCCAGACCAGUUUCCUUCUCCUCUUUACUGUGUUUACUAGACCCAAACCAGUUUCCUUCUCCUCUGUACCAUGUUUACUAGGUCCAGACCAGUUUCCUUAUCCUCUUUACUGUGUUUACUAGGUCCAGACCAGUUUCCUUCUCCUCUUUACUGUGUUUACUAGGUCCAGACCAGUCUCCUUCUCCUCUUUACUGUGUUUACUAGGUCCAGACCAGUUUCCUUCUCCUCUUUACUGUGUUUACUAGGUCCAGACCAGUCUCCUUCUCCUCUUUACUGUGUUUACUAGGUCCAGACCAGUACAGGGCUGGAGUUUCCGUCUCCUCUUUACUGUGUUUACUAGACCCAGACCAGUUUCCUUCUCCUCUGUACUAUGUUUACUAGGCCCAGACCAGUUUCCUUCUCCUCUGUACUAUGUUUACUAGGUCCAGACCAGUUUCCUUCUCCUCUUUACUGUGUUUACUAGGCCCAGACCAGUUUCCUUCUCCUCUGUACUAUGAUUACUAGGUCCAGACCAGUUUCCUUCUCAUCUUUACUGUGUUUACUAGGCCCAGACCAGUUUCCUUCUACUCUUUACUGUGUUUACUAGGUCCAGACCAGUCUCCUUCUCAUCUUUACUGUGUUUACUAGGCCCAGACCAGUUUCCUUCUACUCUUUACUGUGUUUACUAGGUCCAGACCAGUCUCCUUCUCCUCUUUACUGUGUUUACUAGGCCCAGACCAGUCUCCUUCUCCUCUUUACUGUGUUUACUAGGCCCAGACCAGUUUCCUUCUCCUCUUUACUGUGUUUACUAGGUCCAGAACAGUACAGGGCUGGAGUCUCCUUCUCCUCUUUACUGUGUUUACUAGGUCCAGACCAGUUUCCUUCUCCUCUUUACUGUGUUUACUAGGCCUAGACCAGUUUCCUUCUCCUCUUUACUGUGUUUACUAGGCCCAGACCAGUUUCCUUCUCCUCUUUACUAUGUUUACUAGGUCCAGACCAGUUUCCUUCUCCUCUUUACUGUGUUUACUAGGCCUAGACCAGUUUCCUUCUCCUCUUUACUGUGUUUACUAGGCCCAGACCAGUUUCCUUCUCCUCUUUACUACGUUUACUAGGCCCAGAUCAGUUUCCUUCUCCUCUUUACUACGUUUACUAGGUCCAGACCAGUUUCCUUCUCCUCUUUACUACGUUUACAAGGUCCAGACCAGUUUCCUUCUCCUCUUUACUAUGUUUACUAGGUCCAGACCAGUUUCCUUCUCCAGUUUACUGUGUUUACUAGGUCCAGACCAGUACAGGACUGGAGUCUCCUUCUCCUCUUCACUGUGUUUACUAGACCCAGACCAGUUUCC